rnacentral:rRNA from 1 species
AGUGAACGCUGGCGGCAGGCCUAACACAUGCAAGUCGAGCGGCAGCGGGUCCCCGCGAGGGGAUGCCGGCGAGCGGCGGACGGGUGAGGAACACAUCGGAAUCUGCCUGGGUUGUGGGGGAUAACGUAGGGAAACUUACGCUAAUACCGCAUGAGACCCUGAGUCGACGGACUGGGGGUGAAAGUGAGGGACCUUCGGGCCUCACGCGACCAGAUGAGCCGAUGCCGGAUUAGCUAGUUGGCGGGGUAACGGCCCGCCAAGGCGACGAUCCGUAGCUGGUCUGAGAGGAUGAUCAGCCA